rnacentral:rRNA from 1 species
UACGUAGGGUGCGAGCGUUAAUCGGAAUUACUGGGCGUAAAGCGUGCGCAGGCGGCGGGUUAAGACAGGUGUGAAAGCCCCGAGCUUAACUUGGGAAUUGCGCUUGUGACUGGCGUGCUGGAGUGUGGCAGAGGGAGGUGGAAUUCCACGUGUAGCAGUGAAAUGCGUAGAGAUGUGGAGGAACACCGAUGGCGAAGGCAGCCUCCUGGGCCAGCACUGACGCUCAUGCACGAAAGCGUGGGGAGCAAACAGG